CCGGGGGAUAACAGUCGGAAACGACUGCUAAUACCGCAUAAGCGCACAGUGCCGCAUGGCACAGUGUGAAAAACUCCGGUGGUCUGGGAUGGACCCGCGUCCGAUUAGUUAGUUGGCGGGGUAACGGCCCACCAAGACCGCGAUCGGUAGCCGACCUGANAGGGUGACCGGCCACAUUGGGACUGAGACACGGCCCAGACUCCUACGGGAGGCAGCAGUGGGGAAUAUUGCACAAUGGAGGAAACUCUGAUGCAGCGACGCCGCGUGAGCGAAGAAGUAUUUCGGUAUGUAAAGCUCUGUCAGCAGGGAAGAUAAUGACGGUACCUGACCAAGAAGCCCCGGCUAACUACGUG
rnacentral:rRNA from 1 species